rnacentral:rRNA from 1 species
CAGCCGCCGCGGUAAAACGAAGGGUGCAAGCGUUAAUCGGAAUUACUGGGCGUAAAGCGCGCGUAGGUGGUUUGGUAAGAUGGAUGUGAAAUCCCCGGGCUCAACCUGGGAACUGCAUCCAUAACUGCCUGACUAGAGUACGGUAGAGGGUGGUGGAAUUUCCUGUGUAGCGGUGAAAUGCGUAGAUAUAGGAAGGAACACCAGUGGCGAAGGCGACCACCUGGACUGAUACUGACACUGAGGUGCGAAAGCGUGGGGAGCAAACAGGAUUAGAUACCCCAGUAGUCCCUGUCUCUUAUAC